rnacentral:rRNA from 1 species
UACGAAGGGGGCUAGCGUUGCUCGGAAUCACUGGGCGUAAAGGGUGCGUAGGCGGGUCUUUAAGUCAGGGGUGAAAUCCUGGAGCUCAACUCCAGAACUGCCUUUGAUACUGAGGAUCUUGAGUUCGGGAGAGGUGAGUGGAACUGCGAGUGUAGAGGUGAAAUUCGUAGAUAUUGGGAAGAACACCGGUGGCGAAGGCGGCGAUCUGGGUCGAUACUGACGCUGAGGUGCGAAAGCGUGGGGAGCAAACAGG